rnacentral:rRNA from 1 species
AUUGAACGCUGGCGGCAGGCCUAACACAUGCAAGUCGAGCGAGCGGCGGACGGGUGAGUAAUGUCUGGGAAACUGCCUGAUGGAGGGGGAUAACUACUGGAAACGGUAGCUAAUACCGCAUACCAUCAGAUGUGCCCAGAUGGGAUUAGCUAGUCGGUGGGGUAACGGCUCACCUAGGCGACGAUCCCUAGCUGGUCUGAGAGGAUGACCAGCAACACAGGAACAGAGAAAGGGUCCAGACUCCUACGGGAGGCAGCAGUGGGGAAUAUUGCACGAUGGGCCGAAGCCUGAUGCAGCAAUGCCGCGUGUGUGAAGAAGGCCUUCGGGUUGUAAAGCACUUUCAGCGGGGAGGCGGUACCCGCAGAAGAAGCACCGGCUAACUACGUGCCAGCAGCCGCGGGAAUUC